AGUCAGACCUGAGUGGGGAAAGGAAGUGUUGCUUGGGUGGUAACUGUUUUAAACUGUUUCACUGAAAAAAAAAAACUAAGCAAAGCAAUGCAUAGUAGCUAAGGGGUAAUGAAGUGUUAAACAUGUCUUUAAAGUGACACUCAGUAAUGGUGUAUACAAGAUUGGUGCUUUUCAAGAAGAUUAACAGCCUAAAAACCACAGGAAAAUAGAAAACACCAGGAUAAUCUAAAUGGUCUCCAUGACUUCCACAAACACCACAUGCCUGAUAGGCCCCAGGAAUAAAGAAUCAGUCUAAUGAGCAGCCAGAAAAUGCCAAUCUUGGAGUUAUAACCACACCGCUUUUACAUCUAACUUUGCCCCGUCCGUUGCAAUAAAUACUGGUCACACA